GCCUUCGGGGUGUAGUGGUCAGCACUCUGGGCGCGUAUCCGAGAGGUCCGAGGUUCGAGUCCCAGCGAGGGCA
rnacentral:tRNA from 1 species